rnacentral:rRNA from 1 species
AUGGUGUAUGAGCCUUUACUGGGAUUACCUCCUAUAUUGUUUGCUUCUAUACUGUGAACUUUUGGCGAUGAAGGUCGUAACUGACCUUCGGGAGAGACUCAGGACAUAUAGGCUAUAUGGGUAGGCCUGUUCUGGGGUUUGAUCGAUGCCAAUCAGGAUUAUCUUUCUUCCUUUGGGAAGGAAGGUGCCUGGUACCCUUUGCCAUAUACCAUGAAUUCAGAAUUAAAAGUAUAAUAAAAUAACAACUUUUAACAAUGGAUCUCUUGGUUCUCGCAUCGAUGAAGAACGUAGCAAAGUGCGAUAACUAGUGUGAAUUGCAUAUUCGUGAAUCAUCGAGUCUUUGAACGCAGCUUGCACUCUAUGGAUCUUCUAUAGAGUACGCUUGCUUCAGUAUCAUAACAAACCCACACAUAAAAUUUAUUUUAUGUGGUGAUGGGCAAGUUCGGCAGUUUUGCUGAUUGUCUAAAAUACAGCUCCUUUGUAAUUCUCGCAUCGAAUUACGAACUACCUAGCCAUUGUGCUUUUUUGGUCCAAAACCAAAAAACAUUAACCUAGGGGUUCUGCCAGCCAGCAGAUAUUCUAGAUGCCUUCUCAACUAUGAUCUGAAGUCAAGUGGGACUACCCGCUGA